rnacentral:misc_RNA from 1 species
AGGGAGGAGGGGUCCUUCCUGGUGGGCGUACGGAACUCGGGUGGUUUUUCUUAGGAAAAACACCCGUUUUCACGUACGCCCAUCCUUUCCCAACGUUGCCUCGGAUGUCCCGUCGUUAUGCCAUCACGAAGGUGGUGGCCCGGUCCCGUGUACGUCUCGUGAGAAAUCCUGACCCUACAGCCGAACGUGGCUCGGGAAACAGGAAAGUACCCCGUUUCGUACACGAUCCGACCGACGGUAAACAGUCGCAACGGUGUCCCUCGAAUGUCGCCUCCGGAAAACCGUUGCCCCUCGGGGCAACGCAAAACCGUUGCCCCUCGGGGCCAACGCAAAACCGUUGCCCCUCGGGGCAACGCAAAAUCGUUGCCCCUCGGGGACAACGCUAAACCGUUGCCCCUCGGGGCAACGCAAAACCGUUGCCCCUCGGGGGCAACGUCAUCGCUGUCCCGGUCCCCUGUACGUCCCAAGUGAAAUUCUGACCCAACAGCCGAAUGCGGCUCGGGAAACAGGAAAGUAGCCCGUUUCGUGCACGAUAAGACCGUCGGACAACCUUGCACCGACGUCCCGAUUAAGUUGCCUUCGGAAAACCGUUGCAUCCGUAACUUCAUUGCUGCGGGUGUGACACACGCGUGAUUUGGCCUUGCAGGACGCCUUCGUGCAAGUGAUCCUCCCGUGCUCUGCACGGGCGGAGGCUUGGUUGGUUUGACCGCUUGUUGGCUACUAAGCGCAUGAGUAGCUUUUGACCCGUGUCUGCCGGUAGAUCCCCCGUUGUACUGCGGCCGACUACCGGCGCCGUGUCCCGUCCCUCGUGUGGCUUCGAAUCGCUGGAUUAAGAGUGCUUGCAUGCUAGUACCCGACCUACGGGAAGUGGUGCUUCGGAUAAUUGUUGCCUCGCGGCGGACGCCCUUUGGGUGUGCCGCUGCGGCCAAAUAGCGCUUGCGGCGUUGCCUCGUGGCGCUGGCAUGUUACGUGCCCGCUGCUAUCAAGGCAACCUCGCUCUCGCUUUUGGUCUCGGAUGCUGCUGACGAUAAAGGGUCGUGGCCCUUUCGGUUGCCUCGACCCGACCCAAAGCUCUCCGAAUUGAGAACAACCGGAACAGGAGUUGCCUCUACCUCUCCACAGUUACGUGGUAGGAUACGCGACUCUCUGCGCCGAUCCUCAAGGAGGAUGAGCAAUGCCGCUCAAGAGCGACAACCGGCCCGGCUGUUGCCUUUGAGUUUCCAUGAAAGUGGAAGCGCAAGACGAUGGUCGUGCUGGGCGUCACCAAGGACGUGC